CCUACGGGAGGCAGCAGUGGGGAAUAUUGCACAAUGGGGGAAACCCUGAUGCAGCGACGCCGCGUGAGGGAAGAAGUAAUUCGUUACGUAAAGCUCUAUCAGCAGGGAAGAAAAUGACGGUACCUGAGUAAGAAGCCCCGGCUCACUACGUGCCAGCAGCCGCGGUAAUACGUCGGGGGCAAGCGUUAUCCGGAUGUACUGGGGGGAAAGGGGGCGUAGACGGUGCGCCAAGUCUGGAGUGAAAUGGCGGAGCUUAACUGCCGAACUGCUUUUGAAACUGGCGAACUAGAGUGCGGGAGAGGUAAGCGGAAUGCCUAGUGUAGCGGUGAAAUGCGUAGAUAUUACGAGGAACACCGAUGGCGAAGGCGGCUUACUGGACCGUAACUGACGUUGAGGCUCGAAAGCGUGGGGAGCGAACAGGAUUAGAUACCCUAGUAGUC
rnacentral:rRNA from 1 species